rnacentral:sRNA from 1 species
UUACUUAAUUGUUUAGCCGAAAGGCUAACGGCUGGUGGUUUGUUGACCACCGGCCU